rnacentral:rRNA from 1 species
AGAAGGUUUUAGAUUGUAAACUUCUGUUUUCAGGGACGAUAAUACGUACNNUGAGGAGGAAGCUCCGGCUAACUACGUGCCAGCAGCCGCGGUAAUACGUAGGGAGCGAGCGUUGUCCCGAAUACUGGGGUGUAAAGGGAGUGUAGGCGGGACUGCAAGUCAGAUGUGAAAAUUAGGGGCUCAACCCCUGAACUGCAUUUGAAACUGUGGAUCUUGAGUGAAGUAGAGGUAAGCGGAAUUCCUAGUGUAGCGGUGAAAUGCGUAGAUAUUAGGAGGAACAUCAGUGGCGAAGGCGGCUUACUGGGCUUUUACUGACGCUGAGGCUCGAAAGCGUGGGGAGCAAACAGGAUUAGAUACCCUGGUAGUCCACGCUGUAAACGAUGAUUACUAGGUGUGGGGGGACUGACCCCUUCCGUGCCGCAGUUAACACAAUAAGUAAUCCACCUGGGGAGUACGGCCGCAAGGCUGAAACUCAAAGGAAUUGACGGGGGCCCGCACAAGCAGUGGAGUAUGUGGAUUAAUUCGAAGCAACGCGAAGAACCUUACCAGGUCUUGACAUCGUACGCAUAGCUCAGAGAUGAGUGAAAUCUCUUCGGAGACGUAUAGACAGGUGGUGCAUGGUUGUCGUCAGCUCGUGUCGUGAGAUGUUGGGUUAAGUCCCGCAACGAGCGCAACCCUUAUGUUUAGUUGCUACGCAAGAGCACUCUAGACAGACUGCCGUUGACAAAACGGAGGAAGGUGGGGAUGACGUCAAAUCAUCAUGCCCCUUAUGACCUGGGCCUCACACGUACUACAAUGGCUGCAAACAAAGGGAAGCGAAGCAGUGAUGCGGAGCAAAUCCCCAAAAGCAGUCUUAGUUCGGAUUGUAGGCUGCAACUCGCCUACAUGAAGUCGGAAUUGCUAGUAAUCGUAGAUCAGCAUGCUACGGUGAAUACGUUCCCGGGCCUUGCACACACCGCCCGUCAA